rnacentral:lncRNA from 1 species
UUUUUUUUUUUUUGAGUGUCCUCCCUCAAGGAAUUACACCAUUCCUCUAGUGUUGUGAAAAUUCUAAUUACCCUUUCCAUAAAGGUGAGGCUUUGGGAAAAAGUGAUCCAAGGUAAGGGGCAAAAGGGGGAAAAUGUGUGUGGACAUACAAAUUUGAGUAUGGGGUUUUCUUUCUUUAGCAAUUAUGGCAAGAGAGAAAAGAUAGAGAAAGAGUAGGUCCAACCCUCCUCUCAACUCCAUCUUACCAUCAUGAAACCUAAUACAAUACCACUUUAUAUAACCCCAUUGAAAGUCCUUUGAUCAAUUAGAAUAAAAUUGACCCUCUUUUUAUUUUGUUUAUUUCUUGGGCUACAAGUGUGAUGUCAUUUAGAGAAGAGCCACAUGGCAUAACAUUUAUAAAUUCAAAAUUUUACAUUGCUUGUAUUCUUGAUCUAGAGAAUUUUGGUCAUUCUCAUAAUGAGCAAAUCUAGGAACAUGUGACAUGUUAUUUUAUCAAAAUUAUUUUCAACAAUCAAUACCCUAAAUUCAACAUCACAAGAACUUUAGUAUUUACAAAAAUUUAUGUAGACAAACAUGGGACAAUGAAUGACCCAUAAUUCAAUCAAUGUCCCAAAUUCAAUUUUAGAGGGGAUCAUGAAAUGUGAGAGACUCAAUGAUGACUCAAGGAAAUGUAGCUUUCAACAUGGGUCAAUUAUCCGUGUCAACCCCACCAAGGGAAGACUAAAAUUUUUUGGUGACAUUUCAUAAGUUCACAAAGCCAAUGAUUAAUAUUUUGUCAUUCUCCGGAAUUGAAGGGACUUUCCCUUUGGUGGAAGAUGAGUUCAAAGUUCAAUCCACACAAGUCAAUCCAAGGAGAAAUGGCCAUAAAGGGAGCAAACCCUAAUUCUAAAAAGACGUCUCUAUGUGUUCAGAAAGAGUAGGUGAGCAUUACAAGGAUUUGAGCAACCAAACUCUGAUAUAGACAUUAACAAUAAAACCAUCUGAACUGGUAGGAUCGGAUAGGAUGGUUUAAUAAAAAAGCAAAGUUGGGAGCUUUAAUUUUGUUUUUAAUUAUUUUUUUUAUUGAGCGUGAACAUUUAUAUAAUAUUGAAUGCUUGACACUUGACCGUUUCUUGAUCCUCUAAAUAAAAUAACAAAUCCUUGAUAACUCAAUCCUUAUUUUUUAACAUUUUAAACCAUGGUGGCUUGAUCCAAAUUUAGUAAUAUGAAAAUCUUAUGCUACCAUUGGUGACAACAUCGAUGCUAGCUGACUUUUUUUUUUUUUUUUUUGAAAAAAUCUCAACCUAACCCUUUGGUACUUCAGAGGACAAACAUUCUCAUAGCUGCCUUCUGACGUUUAGCUAAUGAUCAUAUGUUUAGUGAAAUUAAUUGGUCAACGAGGGUAAAACUUUAGUAUGAACCUGUCAAAAACAAAAAAAAACCAAAAAAGGUUCUUCACGUUUCUUUUUCAGUUUUGACAUUGAAUUGGAAUUUAAUUAUAAAAGACUGUUGACGCGUAGAAAGAUUAGUAUUAUUUUUAAACAAUUAAAAAGAUAGCUCAUGUCAUAAGACUGAAAUUGCACCGAUUCGUGACAUUUUGGGCACGGAGUCGUGUUUCAAUUCCACACGGCUAGGCAAGAAAUCAACUUCAACCCACCAAUUGGGUUACAGCAUUACUCAGCUAAUCAUAGCAUAAUAUAAUAAUAAUAAUUUAAAGGGAACGCCCAGAAACAUUUUCGUGAAACACAUCUACAAGUAAAUGUACGUGGUAUGCAGACUUGGAGAAUUGGUUAUAUGAAAGGAAAAUUAAAAAAAAAAAAAAAAAGGGAAAAUGGUCAACGUCUGUGGUGGAAUUUAGUGAGUUUUGGGUUGACUAAUUGACAAAAAACAUAUGAGCCAUAGGAGACACUCGUUUGCACGCCGACCCCCGAGUCAACCCAUGGCCACACACAUACUCGUGUGUCGUCUUCGUCUUUCUUUGCAUUAUUAUUAUUAUUAUUAUUAUUUUAUUAUUUUUUUCAUUGAAUUAUAAUUGUGAUUAUUUGUAUGGGCCAUUUCCACGUGCCACGUGAUCCGUGGUACUCUAGUGGGUCACCACUUUGUAGGGACCCGGUCCUAUUUUGUCAUCUUCUACACCUCAAGCUGACCUCAAUGUGACAUCACUAAAUAUUAUUUGUAAGCAUUUGUUUAAACCUUAUACUCCAUGGUAUAAUUGGAAACAAGAAAAUGAUUUUAGCUCUAUUUUACAAGAAUAUAAUUUCUUAAAAUUAAGUGGGAGAACACGUGUGGAAUUUGGGUGAUCCAGUGAAAACGUGUGCAAGUGGGGGUAAUCAAUAACUAAAAAAACAAAAAACAUGUAUAUACUAAUUUGGAUAUUGAUUAAGACUAAGAUUGAUGAACAACUCAAUUAAGUUUGGUGGGAGUCAUGGGGUAUGACGUAAGGGUAUUGAGGGCCAAAAUGGUGAAUUUGGGAAGAGAGAGAACAUUCCACAGAGCAUAAGAAGACAAGUAGAAAAUCCAAAGGAGUGGAUGGGUGUCACCUAAUGAAAUACCCUUUUGCAUCAACUGGAAAGCGACCGCUGUGUCUUACCUCUCUUUUGGGUUCUGAGGUCAAUCCCUCUCCCUCUACCUCUACCUCUCCCUCAAGUUCUCAACCUUUCUCACACGCGCUCUCCUUCACAUAUUCACAUAAUUUGAAAGGGAUCAAUAGAUCUGAUUGGACAACUGGAAAAUUGGAGGUUAAAUUUUGAGGAAGGAUGGCUGAGAAAAAUGAGAAAGGGCAAUGAUGGGGAUGUAGAAAGAGGUCACAAUCUGGGUUUGACUCUUUGGCCCCAGGUGUCGUGGCACGCGAGCGCAUGCCUCUUCGGUCCCACGUUGACUCAUUACCAUUCGCUCUCCUCGCAAGCAUCACGUCGCAUCUUUUGUAUAUACACACCAAAAUGUAGAAUGUAGAAUUGAAUCAGAAAGAAUUAUACUUAUUGGGCGGAUCAUCAUCAUCAUCAUCAUCCUCGACGUAUUUACAUAUUUGGACAGCUGAUAUCCACAUUGGGAAAUAAUGUUGCCUGUAUGGAAAAGGAUGGCUGGCUUUAAUUGUCCAUGAUGAAGGUUUUCUUCAUGGUUGUGGGCUGUGGGUGUGAACCCUCGCAAUGCCGUCAAGUAAUGGUGGUGGUCCAUAGGUUUGAUGACAGGAAGAAAAUUAAAUCACAUGUGAACCUUCAUACGAACAAGAAAUUGAAACAAUGGCAUAAUUCUUCAAUGAGCCGAAUCGACAACCAAGAGGCAUCAGUGUCAAGUGAGCUUGCAGCAAUGAAUGUGGCGACUCCGCCGCGCCCCCCCCUUUCAAACUCCUAACUUCGUCCCCUUGUUUCUGAAUAAUCAACUCUUACAUGAUGAGUAGAGUUUAUGUGAACAUCAUCGAAUGUUUGUGGUUGUUUUCACAAAGGUGAUAAUUCGGUUCACAACAUACGAACCCAAUUAGGAAUUUUCCUACGCUUUUUGGCGACAAACGAGCACCAAAUUGUUGGGUCAACUGUGCGGUUUCGCUAGACUACAACUAAGUUAAAAAUCUUCUUCUUCCCAUUCAUUGCCUCCUAACAUGUUAAGUGCAAAUGCUAAAAUUCAUUCAUGGAUGGAGUGGACUCCAUCUCAGUGGUACGUGCAGAACAAGCAUGAAAAAAUGGGCUUAUCUUUCAAUGGAGCAGAAGCUUUUUCUUAAGCCAAUUCCAAUCAUUUGUCUAUUCCAGAACCGUAUUGGUAUACUGAAGCUUCCAUUCUUGUGCAAGUGCUUUCUAACAUUGAAUGUGUGGUGUGGCCAUUGUGAACUAUUAUUCUGAUUUAAUCCCAAUGGGAGGUGCUAUAUGGAGAAUGCGUGCUCUUAGCACUAUUAGAAACUUGAGAAAGGGCAUAUGGAUUUUGGGUGCCUAAUUAACUUUCUACCUAGGCCAUGUGGAUUGUGGCACGAUUCAAUCCAACCUUGUAAAUAUCCACAUGAACGAAAAGGCAUAACAACCUAAAUUUCAAUUUUCUUGGCAACUGUGAAGGCUUUUCUCCUAUGUUAUAAGGACAUGUUUGCUAUGGUAGAAAUCAAAAGUAUCUCUCUUUCAAUUCUUUUGUUAACUUGAACUUUGAAAUAAAAAAAAAUAUCUAUGUUUCAUCAUAACAUGAGGGUACUCAUUCCUCAAAUUUGGGAAACCCAUUAGCCCCAGUUUUGGGUUUUUCAUUUUGUAGAUAGAUUGCUUACUUUGUCUCAAAUCUAUUUCAUCAAAUAAGGUUUAAGAGUUUGUUUCAUCGUAUAAUUUAAAAAUAAAUUUUUAUUUUUAAAAAUAAAAUAAAAUAAAGAAUAAUUUUUAGAUAAUAUGUAGAAAUUGUUUUUACCAAUUUUUUUUAUUUUUAAAUAUGAGUCCAUUUGAUCAUAUUUUGUUAAAUUUAUUUUUAAAAAUUGUUUUUAAAUUAAACAAUAAAAAAUAUAUUUUUAAAAAAUAGAAAAAAUGACUAAACGGACCUAAGAAAUGAAAUUUUUUUUCUUCAUCCAUUCAUUUAAGAUAUCUUUUGUUUUUUUUAUAUAAAUAUCUAUAAUAAUAAAUGUAAUUUUUUUUAAUAUGAGGAAAUUAUAAUAAAAUUACAUAUUUCAUUCCAAUAAAACUUUUGAUUUUGAUUUUUUUAUUCUCUUUCUUAAGAAAUUUAACUAGUGGUAUCUUCAAAGAGUUUGUGAUGAAUACCAUCUACUUUGUCAAAUUAUAAUGUUGUCCUUCCACAAAACAAAUCAUGAAUUUUUGAAGUGGUCAUUUAUGGAAAUGAUUUUAUUUUCUAAAAAUAUUGUGAAUUUGUGAAAUGUUUUUUAUCCCCUAUUUUAAAAUAAUACCUAAAGAUAUUAUUUAAAAAAAAGGAAGAAAGAAAAAGGGUUGCAUCACUAGCUUGUGGUACAAAAUUGUAGAAGGAAAGAAAGAUGGGGUGGUGAGAUAAGGUUGGGGAAUACCUUGGGAAUUUACCACAGACUUGCACUUGUGUUAGCUACUUCCCUCCUCUCACCUUCUACUAAUUCACAUGUCCUUCGAGUGACUCUCACGCGCAUUGACCUACUCUCUACGGUCUUCGAUUAUAAACUCUCCUAAUUAUCCAUUUCUUUAAUUAAUUAAUCGGCAUUAGUAAAUUAACCCUUUAUACAUAGAGGUACGCUAUUUCCAUGCAACUGUGACGUGGCAGCCAGAUCAAGAACCUUCAUCAUAUCACUUCGCUUUGUUCGUAAGGAACACGAAUGCUCACAAAUAAAUAAUAAAUAAAUAAAAGGUAAAGAGAACAAAGAAUUUCUAAAAUAAAAAAAAAAUAAAAAAAUGAAAUCAAAGAAAAAAAAGAAAAAGAGAAUUGGAUUCAAAAUGGGCUCUCAUUUGUCCAAUCAUCCCUUGAAAUGUCAACCUGAUUCCGGUAGUUUCCACCGUCCGUACCCUCAAACCGUUGUAUAUAUAAAUAAGACCCCAAGUCUUGAGCUGCUUUCUUAUAAACCUAACUCAAAGAUAGGGAUAGAGAAACGAGAAGAGGAAGAAGAAGAAGAAGGAGGAGGAGGAGAAAGAGAAAGGGAGAUUCCCAUAUAGAGAAAUCAAAGGUGUUGUAUCUUUGAGGUUUAACGAUGGCAGAUGAAUUUCAGACGGGGGUAUGCGGCGGAACAUGGUGGAAUCCGGCGAGGAACUCCUUCAUCGGAGGGCCAUCACCGUGCUCCACGGCGCUGAAUGAUACGGGAAGCUUUGGGUGGCCGACUGAGAUGGUGGACAUCAAGGCAAGGUCGUGUGAGGAGUCCGCUUCGGUUUCCGAUAGCUCCAUAGUUUUCCAAGAUAUUCAGAAACCCCAGCAGCCGGAUUCCGCCAGCGGCGGUGGCAGCAUGUUGAUGGAAUCGACUUUGCAAAUGAUGGGUUUUGGCCUUUCGUCAUCGUCGACGACAACGGAUUGGAAUCCAGCUUUGAUGUAAGCUUGGAGCUGCGCCUAACUGUUUUAAUUCCAUUUGGUGCAUAGCAGCCUAAUUAGUUAUGAUGAUUUACAACUAUUCUUUUUUGAAUUCGUUGAAAUUUAAAUCUCAAAAGUUCUAAGAGUCAAUACUUUGUGGACGGGCAAUGAAAAAAGUUAGAUAUUUGAGAUUUGUUUUUGGUCAACUUAAUCAAUUAAAUUCCUUUUACCAGAAAAAAAGCACUACAUAAUAUUUUGCUUACCAAUCGGUUUCUCUUAUGUUCUCUUUAUCUUUUUUGUUUUUUCCAGUCGUGGUAGCGGCAGAGCUGAGAGCAAUUAUCAUUCCAUGCUCCAAGAUGACAUGAGUUCGAGGUUGAAUGGGAUGGAUUCUCCUCAAAUUCAGAAGGAUUGGAGUCCGAAGAACUUUUCCACUGGCGGUGAAGAUUCAUCCAUAUGCGCGCUUAAGCCCAUGAAUCAGGGUUUUGCAUUAGACCAGCAGCGUUUAAAUUCUAUCAAUAGCUCCGGCGACAGUACAGUGACUUGCCAAGGCUUCUCUUCAGGCUUUCCCAUGGGUUCAGCUUCAUAUGGCUACCCUUCCACAUUGUUGCAAGGUUUAUAUGACCCUGAUCCUCAACCCCAGCAGUAUCUUUUUGAUAACCGGUCAAUGAACUAUUCAUCUAUGGCGAAUUACCGGACAAGCAUGAAUGAAUUAUCGCCUUCCUGGCCUAAAUACUCUCCCUACAUGAAACCCUCAUUGCCUAAGCAGCAACCUAAUAGUCAUUUGCACUUCACCAACAAUACACCCUUCUGGAAUGCCUCUGCGGCGGCUCUAAAUGAUAUCAGAGCGAGCUUUUUUCCUUCACCGCAGUCGCAGUUUCUCACACCAACAUUUGAAGAGAAGCCCAAUUGUUCCAAGCUCACCACAAAGGUAAAUAUAAUGAUAGCUAGAUAGGAUAUGAGUUCGACUAGGGUUUCUGAAACUGAAUUGUUCUUUAUAUAUUCGAAUUCCAGCUCAAUACCGAGGAAGUUCGAGACUCGGGAUCAGUGUUGAAGAAGAGCAGCGCUGAACCUGCAUUCAAAAGGCCUCGAAUUGAAACACCAUCGCCAUUACCAACUUUUAAGGUAAAAUAUAGAUUCAAUGAAGGUUUUUAUUAGAGAGAGCUUCAAUCCUUCCCUUUGUAAUAAUUAUGAAUUGUUUUUCUUGAAAGAAACGGAUGACAAGUUGUAGCUUUGUUAUCAGGUCCGUAAAGAGAAGCUAGGGGACCGAAUCACUGCACUCCAGCAAUUGGUUUCCCCUUUCGGAAAGGUAAGUUUUUGGAUUUUUCCUUUGCUUUUUCAUAGAAGAAUUUUCAAAAUCUUUUCAAUAUGAAUUAGUAAAUGCAUAAUUGGGCUAAUUUGAUUCAUAUGCUUGUUCCAGACUGAUACUGCAUCAGUUCUCCAUGAGGCUAUCGAGUACAUCAAGUUCCUCCAUGAUCAAGUCAGUGUAGGUUCCACUAUCAUCUUGUUGUUGAAACAGUUAAUCAAUUGAUGGGAAAACCCUAGCUGGUAGACAUGGAUGUGUUGACUAGCCUAAUAUAUUUAUUCUCUUUUCUGGGUUUGAUUUCAGGUUUUAAGCACUCCAUAUAUGAAAAAUGGGGCUCCCAUUCAACCACAACAGGUACAAUAGUUUUCUACUAUUCUUCAGUCAGUACAAGCAGUCGUACCAAAGGAAACAAGCAUAAUUUUACUUUAGGAUUCCACUUCUCAGAAUAACUUAGGAAGCAUUUAUCCAUUUUGCAGACUUCUGAAAAACUGAAGGACACAGAAGGGUCCAAACAAGACCUAAGGAGCCGAGGACUUUGCUUGGUGCCAAUUUCGAGCACCUUCCCAGUUGCUAACGAGACUACAGCUGAUUAUUGGACACCAACAUUUGGAGGAACUUUUAGGUAAAGAGAGAGAGAAGCCAUCUCCACAAGAAUUAUGGUAUCAAACGUCCCCAGCCAAGUUGGGAAUGAUAACUUCAAUUUACAAAGAGGAUGAAGAUAAUGUAAGCUAGAAGAGCCACAUUGCUGUGCUGUGCUGUGCUGUGCUGGUGUUGAGAAAAAGCUUAAAAAAAAUACACAAAGAAAAAGAGAAAGGAAAGGAAGUGACCCAUCAAGGAAGGACAGGCAAUGCUGGGCCAGAUACAAGCAGAAUGAUGUAGGCUACCAAAUGAUUAGGGACCAUUGGAGUAGAAUAUAUUGCUGUAAUAAUUCAAGUAUUAUAAUUAAAUGCGGGUUAGGAACAGGAACAGGUGCUAAAUUUAGCGGAAAUUCAGAUUAGUUUAGAGGUGCUUUGUUGUUAAAGGAGCUGAAUUUAGCAGAACUGGAUAAAGGGGCUUUUGUUCCUGUUUCUGUAUGUUGUAUAGGACUGGCACAUCCUUUUAUUUAUGUAAAGGAAAAGAAAGUAAAGGCAAAGAAAAAUAAAGGGUGAGAUCAUUGAAUUGAAGAAUACAAGUGAACAAUGAGUUUGUGGAGGUCAUUUGAUUGGGGUUGUAGCUUUUCAUUUGUUUAUUGGUUUGGAAUGUGGUAGUGGAAGUCAGAGACUCAGAGGCGGCCCACUCUUCCUGCUUUUUGGGUUUCUGCUUAUUGUUUUAUGCCUUUACACUUAAUUUUCAAUUGCAUGCGCGCGUCCACUUGUGUGAGCGCGUUUCAAACUCUAAUACUCCAAAACGGCAUUCUCGUUUCUGUGCUGUGGUCACCCUGUGGUGAAGAAAGAUAACCCAACCUCAUGUCUCUUUCCCACAUCGACAGUUUAUGUUUCUGCGCAGCUUACUCUUUGAAUUGCUUGUCUAUUUGCAAAAUCAGAGAUACUUAUAUAUAUAUGAGAUUGUUCCAAAGACCAACUCUCGGAGACGGUUCUCCAAUUACAUGAUCUGCCGUGAGUCUUUUUAUAAGCCCUCUACGCCAUUCCAGACCCAGUCUUGAAUGCCAGGCGGUUUUUAGGGAACUCAAGGUACCUCCUUUUAUUGAUUUUUAGUGGAUCACACCUUUGUUGAAGUUCUUCACCACCUUUGUGAAGUCAUUGGCAAUUAAUACCGUAAAUACAUUGAUAUUAAUUUCACUACAAUGAACUGAAAAUCAAAGUUUAAAAACCCAAGAGUUUGAUCGAAAAUUUUCCUUUUGAGUGCCGCUUUAAUUGUUUUCAUGUAAUCAUGGAGAAUUCUAAGAUAUCAAUUUAGUAUUUUAUCAACAUAUAGAGAAAAUGAGAUUUAAACUGCUGAAAAAACUUUUGUUACUUGUGAAAAACACAACUAAUUUUGGGUGGUCACAAAUCCUUCCCAAGCCAAUGUGUGAAGUUGUUUUCGGUUCCACCAAUUGAUAGUCCACAGCAAUGAAUACAUAUAUCUGCACUAUUCUUUUAAUUGGAGAUUAUAAUAUACUUAUAUAUAUAAAUGUAUAAAUCAUCUAACAUACAAUGCCAUGGUUGUUACUAUUUGAAGCCAUUAUUGUAAUAUGCCUUUAUGUCUUCAUAAAUGAUUUUCCUUGCAACAUACUGAACAUGAACACAUGUUUUGUUUGCAAUUAAUUCUUUACAGUAAACGGUGCUUAUUUCUAUUCAUAUGAUUGCAAGUUGCGUCUAGUUUGAGCAAAAAAACAAAAACUAAAAAGUUUUCCUGCAAGGUUCCUUUUAAGCAGAAAUGACUAGUGAAAUAUCAAAAAUUAUAGAGCAUAGACAUGGAGAAUCAGUUGUUGGAAGUCAAGGUCUCAUGGAUGUCUAUAUAUGGAGAAUGCAUCUCAAUUCAACUCAACAGUAAAAAUGACUUCUGAAUAUCAAAAUCGAACAUAGACAUGGAGAAUCAGUGAAUAUGAAAUCAUAAAGGAAGUCUUUGUUUUAAGUUAAUCACUUUGAGAUGCCCCCCUACAUCUAUCCAAGAUAUGAGCAAUAAGAUAAUGAAGAUUAAUCCCAUAAAUAAAGCAACAUCACACAUUUGCAAGGAGCAUGUAAAGAGCAGCAAUGAAUUAUGAAAGAAACAGAAACAAAGCUUAAUAUUGAAGAAUCCCAGUGACAAGUGACUAAUCAUGAAAAAGUACUUUAAAUAGUUAAAAAUCAUAUUGAUUGGUAUCUCUUGGGCACCCAGCUUUAUCAUCUUUUGGUGACUUUUGAAUUGAUCGUCUGAUGGGUAUUAUACCAUUACUUGAAGCAUCGGGAUCAGUACCUCUUGCUCUCGAGUACAGUCCAUGAGGAAUUUAAUUCUUAUAGUUUUUGUAAGGUAUGGUUUGUUAAUAUAAAGGAGACGGACGAAACAUAAAAAGGAAUACAGAAAAGGAAAAGCAUCUUGGCAUCAUUGUGAUGCUAAUAAAGUAUACAGACCUUCAGCAGUUACAAUCUCACUUUAAUGGCAGACUUUCUUUUUUCAUUUUUCGGCUAAUCAAUGGCGUACUCUAUAUAUAUACACUUUUGUCUUCUGCUACAAGUUUAUUUAUUUAUUUUUCUUUAUUUUUUUUUUCUGUGUUAAAAGGGUUAUUUCUUUCUGCCACCACCUUUGAAUCUAAUCUUCUGGGCCGUGCAUUGACAAACCAUGACAUGUGGCUUCAUCCCUUUUGGAGAUGAUUGAUGUAUCAGUGUAGAUUCUUCAAUGGUUGUGAUGCCAAGCACCCUUGCAUACUGGCUUCCCAAAAUAUUAUAUACCUUCUCUCAUAGUACCCCUGGGAUGGGAUGCUCUCUGAUGUGAUGUUUCUUUGCUAGCAUAAAUAUACUCUCCCAACAGUCUUCAAGUUUUUCAAAAUCAAAGAUAUUUUGCUUGUUUUCAUAUUCAAGAAUGCUGUACGGAACCUUACAGUAACGAAAAUGAAAAAGGAAUAAUCCAUAUGUCAUGUCUACUUCUUCCGGUGCAAUUAUUUUGUGAAAUGGCUGACUUGGUGCUUGUAAACGUGCUACUUGUGAACAAAUGGAGCUGGGAUUGUUAGGUAUGUUGCCUAAAGGGUGAGACAGAAGGUACAAGUCAAGCUUUGGUUCCAAUGCCUGAUUGCUAAUUACACAGGUCGGAUGAUCAAAUUGGGCAACAACAGUGUACGAUGUGGGAUUCAACUCUUUCUGAAGGACCUAGUCUUAGGUUCGGUGCCUGAUUAGUAAUCCCUUCUGGUGAAAGGUGAGGGCCAAGUAGAAUAGGUUUCCCCAACUUUGAAAUGGAUUAGAGUAGAUCUAUGAUCUAUCCAAGAGAUUGCAAACCCAACAGAUGGUGGCCUGAAACUGAGAAAAUUACUUUUUGCACACAUGUAAGAUGUCGUCGUGAUUGGGACAUUCUCUCUCUCUCUCUCUCUCUCUCGAUGAGAUCACAUAGAUCACUCUUGGAGAUUUUCUUGUAAAAACCCUUCUUGUAUGUAAAUAUGUUUAUAAAUGGGUAACCACAUCUUUCACUACAACUGUCAACAGUACUAGUUUUACCAUGCCAUUAUCUAUAUAGAUAAGUGAUACGCAUUAAUUAGGAACGGCCCAUCUGUAUUUUCNNNNNNNNNNNNNNNNNNNNNNNNNNNNNNNNNNNNNNNNNNNNNNNNNNNNNNNNNNNNNNNNNNNNNNNNNNNNNNNNNNNNNNNNNNNNNNNNNNNNAUUUAAUUUAAAAUUUAAAAUUAAUUUAAUUUAAUUUUUAUUUUAUUAUUUUUAAUAUAUAGAUAAUAAUAAAAUUAUUUUUAAUAAAAUAAGUUAUAAAAAAUAUAAUUAUUUAAUUAUUUAUAAAAUAUAUUUAUUUUAAUAUAAUUAAAAAAAUUUAAAAGUAAUUUUUUAAAAAAAUUAAAAUUAAAAUUAAAUAAAAAGCUAAACGGGGCGGGUAUGAGAAUGUAGCAUACCCGCCCCGCCCCGCCCCGUUUAAUUUUUUAAAUGGGACGGGGAUGGGAAUUGAUUUAAAUAAACGGGGCGGGGUUGGGAGGGGGGCGCCCCGCCCCGAACCCGCCCCGUUGCCAUCCCUAGAAGGUACAAGUCAAGCUUUGGUUCCAAUGCCUGAUUGCUAAUUACACAGGUCGGAUGAUCGAAUUGGGCAACAACAGUGUACGAUGUGGGAUUCAACUCUUUCUGAAGGACCUAGUCUUAGGUUCGGUGCUUGAUUAGUAAUCCCUUCUGGUGAAAGGUGAGGGCCAAGUAGAAUAGGUUUCCCCAAUUUUGAAAUGGAUUAGAGUAGAUCUAUGAUCUAUCCAAGAGAUUGCAAACCCAACAGAUGGUGGCCUGAAACUGAGAAAAUUACUUUUUGCACAUAUGUAAGAUGUCGUCGUGACUGGGACAUUCUCUCUCUCUCUCUCUCUUUCUCUCUCUCGAUGAGGAGAUCACAUAGAUCACUCUUGGAGAUUCACUUGUAAAAACCCUUCUUGUAUGUAAAUAUGUUUAUAAAUGGGUAACCACAUCUUUCACUACAACUGUCAACAGUACUAGUUUUACCAUGCCAUUAUCUAUAUAUAUAAGUGAUACGCAUUAAUUAGGAACAGCCCAUCUGUAUUUUCAGUUUCUUUUAUUCGAAUUUUCCAUGCCUCUCUUCUUGGGACCGCAUUUUGAUACACAAGUGACACUGGAGAGAGAGUAUUCCCUCUAUUGAUUAGGGCCACCAAGACAAGCUCCGGACCUGUUUGAGCAAGAUUCCAAACCCAGCCCUAUCUCAACAAUGUUUGGGCCAACAUAUAACCAGUCCCAUUGCCGGCUAUAACAAUAUAGCAAUGUAUUCUUUGAUUUUGACAUUUUAUGCUAUUGCUGAAUGCCUGCUUGACAUUGAGGUUUCUCGAGAAAAAAGACCCAUAAGAUGGGCACAACAGAUUUUUCAAUGUGUAAUCAAUCAAAAUCAAAACAACUCAAGAGGUGAAUUAUCAGGAAGAUUUUUUCUAAACCCUUUUCAAAUUGCUUUUAUAUUUCAAUCACACUACAGCUAGUAGGUGUCCCCACAGUGUUUCAUUAUCUUUACAGACCAUCUGAUGAAAUUGGAAAUCUGGAUCUCAAUUAGUCCUUUGCCAGUUCUCCCGCUUGAAAUACAGAGUGUGCAAACAAACUGCAUAGCAAGAGAACAAGCCUUGUGGAUAGACUCAAACUAGACACUUGGGUGACGCCUUAUUCCUAACCAACAAACCAAGCAAAUCAAGGAGAACUAGACAUAAGAGUAUGCAAACUUUAUCAUUAAUAGAAGCCACUGUAUUGUAGAAACUUGGUGAGUUCUACAUUGGAGAUGUAUUCAUUUUAACACGCCAAAGUGCAUAUUAUUAUUGCGAGAAAAUGAAAGUUUGGGGACUGAAACACUAAAACAAAAUACAUGCAGUAUGGUAGACGAAGGUGUAGUUGAAUGGUGAGACAAAAUCAUGCAGUUCCUUUGAGCUUCUUGGUGAUGCCAGCAAUGUACAUCCCCUGGUGAAAAGCUUGCGCCAACUCUAUCUCAGAAGGCUGUCUUGAGCCGUCCCCAGCGUAAGUUCCUGCACCAUAGGGGGAACCACCCUUCACCUGCUCUAUCUCAAACAUGCCAGCUCCAAAUGUAUAUCCAAUUGGAACAAAGAUCAUGCCAUGGUGAACAAGCUGGGUGAUGGCUGUCAAACUGCACACAGUUUCCACAAGUGAGAAAAAUCUUCUGCACUGUAAUUAGCCGAUGAGAAAAAAAGAAGCAAAGAUGCCUAAUAAAGAAAGCCUUAGGAAUUGGGGGAUUUGAGAAAAGGGAGCUUACGGAGUAGUCUCUUGUCCACCUCCUUGAGACCCAGUGCUAUAGAAAAGGCCUGCAGGCUUGCCUGCAAGCUGCUGUGUUCUCCAUAGCGCUCCAGUUGCAUCCAAGAAUGCUUUAAAUUGACCAGCCAUCAUUCCAAAUCUAGUGGGGAAACCAAAGAUAAACCCGUCGGCCUCAGAAAGUUCAUUUGGUUUAAUAACUGGUACAUCACUCUUAGGUGGUGCCCCCAUCAGCCCAAGAACAUCCUCAGGGAGUGUUUCAGGUACCUGCUUGCAGAUUGAGGAACAAGUGAAUGCAUGUUAAACCACAUAUUCCAAUCAGAAGCAUAUGAUCAACAAAUUGUGUAAAAUUUUGAAAAUCCCAUGAAAAUAGCAAUCCUGUUUUCCAUUUUUUCUUUUGUUUUAGAUAAUACAAUACAUUUUUAAAACACAGUUGCCAAAUAAGGUCUUACAUUCUCAAAAGUCAACAUAGAGUAGAUAUUUUGGUAUGCAAUUGGCAAGUCAUACUGAAAAAAUGGUAGACCUCAAAAUUUUUAACACGACCCACCCAAAUAAAUGCCAGGUUACCUCAAAAUUUUAUACUCAGAAAAAAAAUUACUAAUUACAAUUCUUUCAGACUUAUAGAUGUGUUAUAUGCAAGUUAAAAAGGGAAUUUAUGCUUUACAACUGUUUAAAAGAAUAAGUAAUUAACUUAAAAAAACCACCCACCUGCCAUAGUUUCACUUCUACCCCUUCCACAGAUUCAGCUCCUUUCUUUAUCUCUUGAGCAAGCUUUUCAACAUGUCCAUACAUUGAAUAGUAACUGUGCAGAAUUAAAUAGUUUCAUAUUAUAUUAUAAAGAUGUACUAACACAAAUGAAGACAUUGACCCAUAAAAUUAGGGCUGAUGAAUUGUCAAUGCAGAGAAAUGGGUGCAUAAUGGAUCCAUGGGUUAUAAAGAAUUCUGUGCCAGGAAAAAAAUAAGUGGAAUAAAAGAAACGUAGUGCAAUCAACAAGAUCCAAGAUUUUGAAUAUUUUAAGAAUUUCAAGUUUUGUGCACAUUAGAGAUUCUACUAAGAACUAAUUUCAGUCAUGAUGAAUGUGAGGUCCACCAUCCAAAAGAUAAUGAAUAUAGAAACCACAUAAGUUAAAAUAACUUUACUUAAGAUCAAAAAAGAAGUAUGACUUCCUUUUUCCCAGUUUUCCUGACAAUGGAAAACAUGAUAUGGAUGAAGAAAGGGAUCCCUUAAUAAUCAAACAGAACCAAUAAAUACACUGCAUAUGUUGGGUCACAUGGUACGAUGACCACAACUCUACUGAUUUACCAGAGCUAAUGGGUCUUCUGCAGAAUAUGACUUGAUCCCCCUUUCUUCUUCUCCUUUUUUACGACUAUCCAUUUCUAAGAACAAUAUAAAAGAUAUAAGCCUCAUUGCAAAUCCAGGCCCCAAUUACAAUUGGGCGAAUGGGUUCAAACUUACAUGAAAUAGUUUUGGCUUUUUUUUUUCUUCUCAAAAAUCUUAAUGGAAACUGAAUCUGGUACUGCAAUUGAGAAAAUUACAAGUGAAAAAGUGUAAGCAUUAACAUUGCAGAUAAGUGAAAAUGCAGAUCCCACCCCACCCAUUAACCCACCUACAAACAAGGCCAGUCUACCAAAAUUCUUGAUCAUAAUUUAUGAUUUUGCAACCCAACAGUCCACCAGGAAGCAUUCAUGUAAUCUCUAUGUUCACAUGGCUGAGAAGAAAAAUCAGAAGAGCACAACAUCUAUUGCAGUUUAAAGUAGAGAUUCAAAUCGCAGAAACAACACCCAGAAAGAUGAAACAGAGAUCAUAAUCAUAAAAUGACGGAAUAACAAAUAUCAAAUCAAAUCAAGACCAUCAGAAGAUCAUAAAAGGAAUCAUAUACAUGCACAAAGAGAUCACGGAGAGAAGGAUAGAUGGUAAUGCUUACACGAUAUAGAGUUUGGCAGCCAUUAAUGGAGUAUCUGUUGCUCUCUCCACGCUUUGUCUCUCCUUUGUGCUUGUGGGUUUAAGCGAAAAGUUGAAAGGGAAAAUGAAAGUUGAUAAAUGAAGCACAGAGGAGGUGUCAUUUAUAGCGACUUCUCAGCCAAGCACCGGGCCGGGGCGUUUGAAAAUAAUUAUUCUUCCCUAAAAAGAAUAUCCAUAUCUAAUCCAGAAAGUCUUCAUACCUUAUUUUUUUUAUCAAUGAAAAGAAGGGACAAAUUUUCAAUUACGGAAACAUUUCAUUCCUUUCUUCUACUGAUGAUCAUCCUCAAAUUCAAUCAGCUUUCACCUUUUAGCCUGUAAUAUCAAUAGUUCAAAAUUGCAAAUGAUCAUUUUCGAGGACAUCAAAUAGAAUUGGAGUACUAUUCUGUAGGAAAAAUAUAUUAUGACUCUGGAAAAGUCAUCUGAUAUUGAUGGUUCUUUCUAUGAUGAAGACAAUGCAUUAAAAUAUACGAACUGUCAACUGUUUCUGGGUAUGCUUAUGGGGAAAUUAUCCAAUCUGCAAAUGUGAUCGGUGGAAUCACAUGCAUGCAGGCGGCUGAAAAAGACUGCCAAGGAAAAUUUGCUCAUUUUUUGGGUUGUUUGGAAUUUUAUUUAGACACGCUUCAUAUAGAAAAAUUAACUUGUAUCAAUUUGGACACUAGUGUUUUUUUUUUUUUUUUUUCUAAUUAAUUAAGGUUAUGAUGUGUGCAAUAUGUCUGCAUGACACAAUGUCAUGAAAAGGGAAAUUGAUUAGUGGAUGGAUAAGCUUUCAUUUCCAUAUUAUUUCUUGUAGUCUCAAAAGAUCAUCCUCUUUCUCAUUUCGCUUUUAUAUAUACUAGGAAGUUUUAACGUGCCAUGCACAUGAGCUAAUACAAAAAAAAUCCAAUAAAAAAAAAGAAUAUGUGAAUUUAUUCUUUUAAAAUAUUUAUAGAAAACUAAUGAAAAAGAGAUUCAAAGUAAAAAAAAUUGAAUUAGACAUAAAACAAAACAGAAAAAAAAAUUAUUAGGCUGAAAUAUAAAUAUAAAAAAAAUUAUGAAUUAGACAUAAAACAAAAUGGGAAAAAAAUUAUUAAGCUGAAAAAAAAAAUGACUUGGAUGGAAUAUAAAUAAAGUUACACUUUUCCAUAUCAAAAUUUUAGAUAGUAAAAUUAUUUUUAAAAUUAUUUUUUUCGAAGUUAAGCAAAAUAAAUAUUACAUUAGUCCUUAGCAAUACCAAAUUUUAUUUAUUUUACAAAAAGUAUAUGAAUAUUAAAAGAAAUACAAAUUAGAUUAAUUAUCCAAACAUAUUUUUUUCUUACAUACUUUCCUUGUCAAUUUCUUUUAAUUUUAUCAAUUUAUUUACACAAAAAAACUAUAUGAUAUUGGAUUGUAAUACAAAAUCAUAGUAAAAAGAAAUCAUUAACAAAUAAAAAAUAGAAAUAUCUUAUUAAGAAUAAAAAUUUGAUCUCCCAAAUACGCUUGGUAUUCCAUUUUCAAAUCAUUAAAUAUAGUUAUUUAAAAUUUCCUUAAUAAUAGUGGUUGGUAUUUAAAAAAAUAAAAUAAAUAAAGAUUGUGAAAAAAAAUCUAGUAAUUCCAAAAUGAAGAUUUAGCUAAACUAAAAAUGAAAAAAAAAACUCUUAAAAAAACACUUAAUUUCAAUUAAAAUAAAUAACUAUAUUAUUCUUAUUAUAAGAUUUAAGUUGUGAAUAUUAGUUAAAAAGAAAAUUAAAAGAAAUAAAAUAAGAAAAAUUAAAAACAUUUGUAGAAAUACUAAAUUUAUAGCAUAAUUAAGAAUCUCCAAUUCCUAUAGACAUUGUAUUAUAAAAUAAAGAAGUUUUCAAUUAUUAUGGAUAUUGGAUUAUAAAACAAAGAACUAUAGUUUCCGAUUCGUAUAAACAUUGGAUUAUAAAAUAAAGAAAUGAAUUUCUUUCUAGAAUAAUAAUUUAUAUUAAAAAAAAUGAAAGAUUUUAUUGCUUAAAGAGUUCUCAUCAUUCUAAAAUUAACAUUCAAUUAAAAGUAUUUACAAAAAUACUAAAAUUAUAAAAUAAGUAGCAAACUUCAAUUCCCAAAAAAGUUGGAUUAUAAAAUAAAGAAUUAGAAUUUAUUAAAAAAAAAUGUAUACAUGAAUACUAAAUUGGAUUAGCUCUCAAAUUUACCACACACCUAGGGUUCCAAUCUUUCUCUGAUAAACAUAUAAGCAAAAUCAUCAAGAACACUAAAUGACAACACUAAUUAACCUAAUUGUGUUCUAAAAAACCCCAUUGAGUGCUAAAAAUUGUCAACUCCAUAAACACAAUUCCUUCUUUAAACAAAUAGGGGAUAAACAACAAUCUCCUUUCACCAAUAUGCGUGUUAUGGUUACUUAGUCCCUAAAACACAAAAGAAAAGCAUAGUUGAAUAUGGAGUAUCACCACUUGUUGAACCAAUCCUCCAAAUUACUUUUGUGAAACUCAAUAAAAGUUUAUUCGCAAGUAGGGACUGACAAUGAUUUCACUNNNNNNNNNNNNNNNNNNNNNNNNNNNNNNNNNNNNNNNNNNNNNNNNNNNNNNNNNNNNNNNNNNNNNNNNNNNNNNNNNNNNNNNNNNNNNNNNNNNNNNNNNNNNNNNNNNNNNNNNNNNNNNNNNNNNNNNNNNNNNNNNNNNNNNNNNNNNNNNNNNNNNNNNNNNNNNNNNNNNNNNNNNNNNNNNNNNNNNNNNNNNNNNNNNNNNNNNNNNNNNAUGAUGACCAUCUCAGCUAGCAUCACUCCUCACCCGAACUAAGAGUACUGAAAAAUUUUCAACAAUUGGGAAUGAGCUCACAGCCCAAUAAGGAAAAUUAAUGCAAUUCAUGGAUCAAAUAUUUUCAUUUCAAAUAGGAGAUAUCAUUUUUUUUUUCUCAUCAAAUAUCAGAGUUUCAAAAAUACCAAUAUAUUCAAAAUUCAACCAACCAUUUUCAGAUUAAAUUCAAACACUUUCACAUAAGAUUCAAUCAAAUCCAUUCAAUUUUCAUUACUCUGGUUAUCAAAUAUCAAAUGCCCAGUUAGGUGGGACUUUUCAAAUGGGUGGCUAGCCUCAAAUUGUUCCUGGUGGACGGAACCAAACACUACUAGUACUAGUAACCUCUAACCAAACCCCUAGAGGCUGGGGUCCAAAUCAAUUACAUUCUCACCAUGAAAUGUAAAGGUCAACUAUUAUAUCCCGUUGACAGGGCCGAAUAGUCAACUAUUAUAUCCCAUUGACAAGGGCCAAAUAAACUAGAGUGAUGUUUUUUUUUGUUCAAGUAUUCAAAUUUACACAACAUAAUAUCUCCAUAUUUUGUGUCAUAAAUAAAACAAAAUAUUCCAACAUAACAUUUAGUGCAAAACAAUUUGAUCCAUGCAUGGUAACAAAAUAUCAUUUUAUUUUCCACAAUUCAAAAUAACAUAUAAAAGAAUUUAAUUUUAUAAAUAUUACAUUAACUUCCCUUACCUCAAAAGAAGUCCUUGAAAGCUUGGGAAAAGAAUAAUUCUGAAAAAAAUAUAAUCUACUCUUCACCUAAUAUACAUAAGAGAAACAAUUAUUACUAUUUAUUUAUAAUUUAACUAAUCUAUUCCUUAUUUAAAUAAAACUAAUAAAUUCUCAAUUUGUUUCUAAUAACACAUUACUAAUUUAAUUAAAUUAUAACUUUAUUUCAUUAUAAAAUUCUAUAUAUAUUACUAAAUCUCUCAUUUUAUUUAUUAUAAAAAUACCAUUAUUACUAUUAUCUUAUUUAUUAAUCUAAAACUAAAUAUCAUUUUUUUUUUAUUAUCCAAUUCAAUAGCUACCUAACCAUUACUCAUUCUCGGGUACACCAAACCAAACCAAAAAGCAAGUUUUUUUUUUUUUUUUUUUUGCCAUCAUCAUGAUUCAUUAUAUAUAUAUAUAUAUACUCCUUCCAUUUGGCUUCCAGCACAGUACACGUACGCCCCCCAUUUUUUUUUUUCCUUCCUUCCUUCCAGUGUUGUGCACACGCGUUUUUUUUUUUUUUUUUUUUAAUUAACCCUAACCUAAAAUCGAAAUAUUCCAAGGAUUUUUUUUUUUUUUAAUAAAACUUAAGAUCUCCCAAAUUCCAAUACUAAAAAAAAAAUAUUAAAUUUUCACUAUUUGAUAUUAAAACGAAUUAAAAAAAAUAAUCUAACCCUAAUCUAGAUUUGGGGUUUUCCAAAAAAAAUAUAUCUAAUGUGUUUGAAAUUAAUCAAUGAAUCUAAAAUAUUAUACUAGGGGUUAGAAUCUUACCUAUAGAGAUCUGUUCUUCAACCCUGGAAUCUGACUCCAACCUUACGUUCUCUGGAAUUCUGCGAACAGGAACUCUAUUCAGAAAAGAAGGGAAAUAAUAAAAUUUCUAAUUUAUACCUAGGGUAUUAAUCGUAAAAUUACUCUUUUACCCUUUUUUUUUAAAUUAAUUAAUUAACUAAUUUAAUUAUUAAUAACAAUUUCCUAAAUUACCCUUAAAAGAAAAUGCUUGGGCGUUACAUCCUCCCCUCCUUAACAAAAGUUUAGUCCUCUAAACUUGACAUACCUGAGUCUUGAAAUAAUUGAGGAUGCUUUUCUCUCAUCUCUUCUUCUAACUCCCAAGUGGCCUCUCGGAUACUAUGAUUGCUCCACUGGACCUUUACCAACUUGACAACAGCAUGUCGUAGUAUCUUAUCCAUCACAUCCACAAUUUGAACGGGUACCUCUUCAUAGGUCAAGUCCUCAAAAAUUUGAAUAGGCUCCAACUCCACAACAUGAGAAGGAUCAUAAAUAUACUUCCUUAGAAUCGAAACAUGAAACACAUUAUGAACCUUAGACAGGCUUGGGGGUAAGGCUACUUUAUAUGCCAAAGUGCCUAUUCUUUCUAAUAUUUCAAACGGACCCACAAAACGAGGACUAAGUUUUCCUUUUCUCCCAAAUCUCAUCACAGACUUCAUAGGUGAAACUUUCAAGAACACAUGAUCACCCACCUCAAACUCCAAAUCUCGCCUACGAUGAUCANNNNNNNNNNNNNNNNNNNNNNNNNNNNNNNNNNNNNNNNNNNNNNNNNNNNNNNNNNNNNNNNNNNNNNNNNNNNNNNNNNNNNNNNNNNNNNNNNNNNCUAAUGGAAAAAAAUGCAUCAUUUCUUGCCACGUGUUGAAGGUUUCUAGAAAUUUACAGAAGGCGAUGAGUUAUGAUUGCUCUCAUUCGCUUCCCUCUUUAAUGUGGUACCUCUCCGCUUUCUUAUUAUUUCUUUUUCUCCUUUUUUAAACAUUUUUGGUUAUCCAUCGACUUUCCUUAUUUACACCCUUCUCUUUCUCUUUUAUCAUGUUAUUUAGUUUGGCUUUAGAGAACUGCUUCACUCAAGGAGUUUUCUUCUUCAUCUUUGCAAGUAGUGAUUUGUUGUUCAAUCUUCCUUGUUUGGUGAGUAAGUUUCUUGACGUUUCCUUUAAAUUUACUGUCUUGAUUUCAGUAGAUUUUUUUUUUUUUUUUUCUAGUUUGCUUUCCACUAGUUUUCCUUCUUGUAUUUCCCUACGUUCUUUGCGUCUCCUUGGAAAGCUUUUUCUUUCCAUUCAUAGUAUUAUUUCCUCAAGGGAUUUUUUGGGGGUCGGCUCUACGUUUUCUUAGUGGCUAAAUUGAUGUCUUUUGUAUAAGUGUCUUAGCUUGUCCCUUGAAAAAAAAUGUCACGAUCAAAUUUUGGUUGUUCAUCUAGUUUUACUUAGACUGAAGGGGAAGUGAUGGAGCCUACUGGGGACUAUGUCGCAUCCCACAGCCUAGAGGAAAGUCCACAUGAUUUAAGUAGUGACGGGUUAAGUCAUGGAAUAACCUUGGCCCAGGUAUGAGAACUUGAUUUUUGAUGUUCAUACUCCAUUCUUGAAGAUGUAGGUAUUCACUUCCCUAGUGAUCCUUUGGAGGUUCAUGAUACUACCCAAGUGUGGGAGCCAAAUGAUUUGAUGUAUUGGCCUUGUGAUCACCUUGCGGUGGGGCUUGGUGCAUCAGUUUCUAUACUGAAAAUGCUAAAAAAUCUUCAUAAAUAAUUGAAAAUUUUGGUUCUACCAUUUCUGGAUUCAAAGGAGGUUUCUUCAUGCAGAAAUGAGUUUCAGGGUUUUUGAGAGAGUUUUUUCAAGGGGGAGCCGACCUCUCUUUGGUUGGGGAGGAGCUACAUAUAUGCUCCUCCUACAUGAAGCUUCGGGAGAGUUUCUUCCCUCUUUCUUCCAUAUGUUUGACUAUCUUUUUUAGUAUCUAGCCAACUCAUUGCUGACCUUGACCACCAGCGGCCAAAAAAGUGGUUGUAGAUUUGCUUUUAAUGGUAGGUAGGAAAGCGGAUUGGUGUUAAUUGAAGGUUAUAUCUUGUAGAGGACCUUAAUCAUAGGUACAUUUUGGGAUGUUUAUUUUUGGCAAGAUCAUAUACUAUACUCGAAUACAUCUCGGACAUGUGCACUUGAACAUUAUUCACAUUCUAGUUGGUGUUUCCAUCCUUUAACUUUAUUCAUGAGUUACACUUGGGCUUAGAGGAGGUCUGUUUUAUUUAUCCUUUAAAAUUGUCUGCUUGGGGAAGUUCUCUCUCCGUUGAUACUCAUUCCUUACAACUAGUGGUCGGGUUGCCUACCACCAGCAAAGGGGCGACUUGUGGUAACGUCAUAGUGUUGGGAAAUUGGGGUUGUAACCUAGGAGGAUCUUCACAGGAGUUCCCCUUAAACGGGUCCUUUUGUAAAUCUGGUACAGUUUGAUUUUGCCCGUUUCUCUCUACGAUUUGUUCCCUUCAACUUCUCCCUUCCUGUUUUCUUUUUCCUUUUUCUUUCUACAAACUUUCCUGUUGUCAUUCAAACAAGUCUCAGUGAACGGGGUAGACGAGUUGAAUGGCUUCCACCAGAGGGUUUUGAUAAGGUUAACUUCAUGCUUCACCUUAGCGAAAAGGAAAUUAAGAUAUUACCAAUCACUUCUGUCAUCAUCCCGAUUGAAGGCGAUUUUGAUGAACCUAGUGCAUUUUCGUAUUCAACAAAUACCCCGUCUUCUCUUUGGACAGGUAUAACCCCCCAGCUUCAUCUUGGCUAUAUAGACAUUAAACAAGCUGAAACGGUUGCUCGUGAGCGGGAACGGGCCGAAGAUUAAAGGGUUCUGGUUACCGCAGCAAGUGAAGUGAAUCAGACCGUGGUUAACUACGUUACUUCCUCUUUGUCAGUUAAGAAUUCUCUCGUGAUCAAUAUUGACUGAGACGAGUGAGGGUGCAACAAUGAGUUCUUCCGGACGUCCCUUUGGUGAAUACUGUCAGUGGUCUGUCUCGCGGCUCCAAGAAGAUAAGCAAACGGUUUCGAGCAUUUUCUGAUUCUGUGGGGCCUUCUUUUAAACGCCCUGCUCGUUAGCCUUCACUUCUCCCACGAGAUGAUCGGCCCAUAAUUCCUCGAUCGACUGCUCCUCCUGUGAAUAGGGAACCAUGCCCAGUUAUGCCCCCGCAACCACUGUUGACAACUGGGGGGUGUUUUUUAGAAGGGUACAUCUUUUUUCAAAAAAGAUGUUCCACCAUUUUUCACUCACUGAUUUGAUGCCUAUACCUCAUUCUGUGGCAUCGUCUUCACUGCAGCCGUCUUUAAUGCUUGUUCCAGACGAUCUAGACGAGCGUAAUACUCGUGUUAUAGAAUUGCUUUUUCACCUUCUUUUUCCUUGGUUUGUGUUACUUCGUUACUCUGUUUUCUUUUCAUUUAGUUUUACCUUCUUUUUAUUACUCCUAUCUUUUUGUUUGUGCGCAAAUUUAGUAUCGUCGAAGGAUUUAUAUUGCCACUAUCAAAUGAUGUGGGACAAGCUAAAGGACCACACAACUAAGGGAUAUUGCUCUGGCCAUGUGUCAGCACCCGUACCUUGACCUGGACACUAUGGCCACUAAGGGUAUCAUGGGUGGGCACCUUGCACCCAUGAGGGCAGCCUUGAGGGAAGAAAUAAGGUGAAAGUGGGUUUGUGGCAUCAGAUCGGCAAAAGGACUGCAGCACUUGGGCAGUACAAGGAGUCGUGUGCACACUAGCCGCAGGCAAAGGCAGCACAAGGGUAGUUCUCGAGCUGUCCCCUUCAAAAUGGAGCUGGGAUUGUUAGGUAUGUUGCCUAAAGCUUGCGACAGAAGGCACAAGUCAAGCUUUGGUUUCAAUGCCAGAUUGCUAAUUAAACAGGUUGGAUGAUCCAAUUGGGCAACAGCAGUGUACAAUGUGGGAUUCAACUCUUUCUGAAGGACUUAGUCUUGGUUUCAGUGCUGAUUAGUAGUCCCUUGUGAUGAAAGGUGAAGGCCGUGUAGAAUAGGUUUCUCCAACUUCGAUAUGGAUUAGAGCAGAUCUAUGAUCUAUCCAAGAGAUUGCAAACCCAACAGAUAAAAGGAGAAUGAAAAAGGUGGCCUGAAACUGAGAAAAAUACUUUCUGCACAUAUGUAAGUUAUUGUCAUGACUGGGACAUUCUCUCUCUCUCUCUCUCUCGAUGAGAUCACAUGGAUCACUCUUGGAGAUAUUCUCUUGUAAAAAUCCUUUUCGUAUGUAAAUAUGUUUACAAAUGGGUAACCACGUCUUUCACUAUAUAGAUAUGUGAUAUGGAUUAAUUGGGAACAGUCCAUCUGUAUUUUCAGUUUCUUUAAUUCGAAUUUUCCACGCCUUUGUUCUUGGGACCACAUCUUGAUACACAAGUGACACUGGAGAGAGAUCUUAUUCCCUCUAUUGAUUAGGGCAAACAACACAAGCUCCCAACCUGUUUGAGCGAGACUCCAAACCCAGCCCUGUCUCAACAAUGUUUGGGCCAACAUAUAACCAGUCCCAUUGUCGGCUAUAACAAAAUUGCAACGUAUUAUUUGAUUUUAACAUUUAUUGCUAUUGCUGAAUGCCUGCUUGGCAGGAAUCCCCACAGUGAACAAAUGGAAGUGGUUCAUUAUGUUUAUACACCUUCUGAUGAAAUUGGAAAUCUGGGUCUCAAUUAGUCCAUUGCCAAUUUCCCUGCUUGAAAAACAGAGUGCAAACAAACUGCAUAGCAACAGAACAAGCCUUGUGGAUAGACUGAAACUAGACACUUCUGUGACGCCUUAUUCCUAACCAACUACCAAGCAAAUCGAGGAGAACUAGAUAUAAGAGUGUGCAAACCUCAUCAUUAAUAGAAGCCACUGUAUUGUAGAAACUUGGUGAGUUCUACAUUGGAGAUGUCUUCAAUUUAACACGCCAAAGUGCAUAUUAUUAUUGCGAGAAAAUGAAAGUUUGGGGACUGAAACACUAAAACAAAAUAAAUGCAGUGUGGUAGACGAAGAUGCAGUUGAAUGGUGAGACGAAAUCAUGCAGUUCCUUUGAGCUUCUUGGUGAUGCCAGCAGUGUACAUCCCCUGGUGGAAAGCUUGCGCCAACUCUAUCUCAGUAGGCUGUCUUGAGCCGUCCCCAGCGUAAGUUCCUGCACCAUAGGGGGAACCACCCUUCACCUGCUCUAUCUCAAACAUGCCAGCUCCAAAUGUAUAUCCAAUGGGAACAAAGAUCAUGCCAUGGUGAACAAGCUGGGUGAUGGCUGUCAAACUGCACACAGUUUCCACAAGUGAGAAAAUUCUUCUGCACUGUAUUUAGCAGAUGAGAGAAAAGAAACAAAGAUGCCUAAUAAAGGAGGCCUUAGGAAUUGGGGGAUUUGUGAAAAGGGAGCUUACGGAGUAGUCUCUUGUCCACCUCCUUGAGACCCAGUGCUAUAGAAAAGGCCUGCAGGCUUGCCUGCAAGCUGCUGUGUUCUCCAUAGCGCUCCAGUUGCAUCCAAGAAUGCUUUAAAUUGACCAGCCAUCAUUCCAAAUCUAGUGGGGAAACCAAAGAUAAACCCAUCGGCCUCAGAAAGUUCAGCAGGUGUAAUAACUGGUACAUCACUCUUAGGCGGUGCCCCCAUCAGCCCAAGAACAUCCUCAGGGAGUGUUUCAGGUACCUGCUUGCCGAUUGAGGAACAAGUGAAUCCAUAUUAAAUCACACUCCAAUCAGAAGCAUAUGAUGAACAAAAUGUGUAAAAUUUUGAAAAUCCCCACUUUAAUGCAUGAAAAUAGCAGUUGUAUCUAACACUUAGAAUGAUGGCAUUGGUAUCCUAUUAAGCAGAGAGACCAACUUCGAUACUUCAACAAAUAUAUUGAUUUGUUGCAAAUCAAAUUGAGACCAAGAACAAAAAUUUAAACUGUUUUAAAAAACAAUUCCAUAAAAAUAGUUUUUGAAAAUUGUUCUUUAAUGAUCUACAUAACAUAAAUUUGAUUGGAAGUUUUUAAAUAUAUUUUAAAAACAAUUUUUAUAUGUAGUAAUUUAUAUUUAAUCAUUCUUCAUAUUUAUAUAAUUAUUUUUUAAAAUAAUCCUUUAAAAACAUGUAAAAACAACUAGAAACAAAUAAAAAAAAUAAAUAUUCUCUUAUAAAAAUAAGAUAUUUUAUAUUUUUAAGAACAAAAAAUUGUUUUAUAUUUUUAUUAUAAUAAAUUUUUUAACACCACCCACCCAAAUAAAUGCCCUAUGUUAUCUUAAAAUUUUGUACUUACAAAAACAAAUUACUGAUUACAAUUCUUUCAGAUUUAUAGAUGAAUUAAUGCCAGCAAAACAUGAUUCAAUUGAAAAAAAGGAAUUUAUGCUUCAAAACUGUUUAAAAGAAUAAAUAAUGAACUUAAGAAAACCACCCACCUGCCAUAGUUUCACUUCUACCCCUUCCACAGAUUCAGCUCCUUUCUUUAUCUCUUGAGCAAGCUUUUCAACAUGUCCAUACGUUGAAUAGUAACUGUGCAGAAUUAAAUAGUUUAAUAUUAUAUUAUGAAGAUAUAGUAACACAAGUGAAGACACUGACUCAUAAAAUUAGGCCCUUAAUAUUAUAUUAUGAAGUUGUAGUAACACAAGUGAAGACAUUGACCCAUAAAAUUAAGGCUGAUGAAGUGGAUGAAAUUUAUAUAGUGAAUGCAUAGAAAUGGGUGCAUAGUAGAUCCAUGAGUUAUAAAGAAUUCUGUGCCAGGAAAAGAAGUGGGAUAGAAGAAAUGUAGUGCAAUUAACAAGAUCCAAGAUUUUGAAUAUUUUAAGAACUUUAAGUUUUGUGCACAUUAGAGAUUCUACUAAGAACUAAUUUCAGUCAUGAUGAAUGUGAGGCCCACCCUACAAAAGAAAUGGAAUAUAGAAACCACAUGAGUUCAAAAAACUUUACUUAGGAUCUAAAAAGAAGUAUGACUUCCUUUUUCCCAGUUUGGGAAAACAUAAUAUCGACGAAGAAAAGGGAUCCCUCAAUAAUCACACAGAACCAAUGAAUACACUGCAUAUGUUAAAGUCACAUGGUACAACGACCACAACUCUACUGAUUUACCAGAGAUAAUGGAUCUUCUGCAGAACAUGACUUGAUCCCCCUUUCUUCUUCUCCUUUUUUCCAACAACUAUCCAUUUAUAAGAACAAUAUGAAAGAGAUAAGCCUUCAUUGCACAUCCAGGCCCCCAGUGCAAUUGGGCGAAUGGUUUCAGACUACAUGAAUUAGUUUUUGUUUUUAUUCUCAAAAAUCUUAAGGGAAACUGAAUCUGGUACUGCAAUUGAGAAAAUUAGAAGUGAAAAAGACUAAACAUUGCCAUUGCAGAUAAGUGAAAAUGCAGAUCCAACCCCACCCAUAAACAAGGCCAUUGCACCAAAUUCUUGAACAUGAUUUAUGAUUUUGCUACCCAACAGUCCACCAGGAAGCAUUCAUGUAAUCUCUAUGUUCACAUGGCUGAGAAGAAAAAUCAGAACAACACUAUAUCUAUUGCAGUGUAAAGUAGAGAUACAAAUCACAGAAACAACACCCAGAAAGAUGAAACAGAGAUNNNNNNNNNNNNNNNNNNNNNNNNNNNNNNNNNNNNNNNNNNNNNNNNNNNNNNNNNNNNNNNNNNNNNNNNNNNNNNNNNNNNNNNNNNNNNNNNNNNNCCUAUUUCGCUUCCUUGGCUGUUCCCUAUACUGAUGAAGCUCCUCAUUUUCUUUCUCUGCUAUAAGGGCUCUGUCAACAACCUCUGAAUAGACACCAAGCUUCAGAAUAGAUAUCUUGUUCUUCAAAUAAGGCUUCAAUCCAUCCUGAAACUUUAAUGCCUUUUCCUCCUCUGUAGCAAUCAAUUGUGGGGAAAAACGUGAUAACUCUGUAAAUUUGGCCUCAUACUGAGCCACAGUCAUAUCCCCCUGUUCUAAACGAAUAAACACUCCCACCUUCUGCCGCCUAACACUGUCAGGGAAAUACUUCUUGUAGAAAGCCUCCCUAAAUUGUCUCCAUGUUAUGGGUCCCUGAUCCUCCAAAAGUCUCCUAGUCAUACGCCACCAAUGAUCUGCCUCUUUAUCUAACAUAAAAGCUGCAUAAGAGGCUUUUUGCUCCUCAGAGCAAUCUAUGACACCAAAGAAUUUCUCCAUCUUAAGGAUCCAAGCCUCUGCCUCUGUGGGAUCUGUAGCACCAGAAAAGUAAGGAGGACCCAAUUUCUUGAAGUCAUCAAAAGAGCUACCCCUAGAAGAUGAAGACUGUCCCUAAACAUUAGUCCCAACAGCUCGAGCUUGGCGUUCAACUAAACCAGCUAGUGUCCCAAGAUACCUAUAGAUCCCUUCUGCACUCACGGGAGGCAAACCCUCAAUUGGAGGUACAUCAUCAUUAGCCUGACUGUUUUGGGAAGAUGCAGGUCUCCUUGGUGGCAUGGUGUCCUAUAAAGCAAUAGGUGUAACUAAAUUAGUCACUAAAAAGUCAAAUAAGUAAAUCAGAAUUGUAAGGAAUAAAAGGAAUCAGACUAGAUGAAGUUGAAACUUAAACUAAUACGUCACUCAUCUAUUCCCAAAGGUACACUAAACAAGUUCCCAUCAAGAUCACAACCUAGUGCUCUGAUACCACUCUGUCACGCCCCAAGACCCACUCCAAGGGCGUGACGGUCAUUUCACACCUCAAACCCGAAGGCUUAAAGUAUAAUCUGACCCAAACAGUCAUAAUGUAACUGGAUGUUACCAAUUACCAAAUACCUGCUCAAAGUAGCGGAAACAAAAUCUAAAAUCCUCAAAAUUCAAUUUCCAAAUAACUUCCAAAUACCAAAUGAUCCAAAAUAACAUAACUAAUAGUUAAACAAAAUCCAACAUAAAAUCCUAAGUCAAAUCCUAAUGAUGACCAUUCCUCAGCCUAGCCAUCACUCCUCACCCGAACUAAGAGNNNNNNNNNNNNNNNNNNNNNNNNNNNNNNNNNNNNNNNNNNNNNNNNNNNNNNNNNNNNNNNNNNNNNNNNNNNNNNNNNNNNNNNNNNNNNNNNNNNNAUGCAUCAAAAUGUAUGAAGGGUCAACUGUUUCUGGGUAUGUUUAUGAGGAAAAUUAUCCAAUCUGCAAGUGUCACCGGUGGAAUAAUAUGCAUGCAGGCGGCUGAAAAAGACUGUGAAGGAAAAUUUGUUUAUUUUUUGGACGGUUUGGAAUUUUAUUUAGACACGUUUCAUAUAGAAAAAUUAACUUCAUAAGUUUGGACAUGAUUUUUUAAACUUUUUUUUAAUGUUAUGAUGUGUGCAAUAUGUCUGCAUGACACAAUGUCAUGAAAAAGGAAAUUGAUUAGUGGAUUGAUCAGCUUUCAUUUCCAUAUUAUUUGUUCAUUAGAAGGAAACCAUUAACCUUAAAAGGCAAAAUAUUUUCUCUUUUUUUGGUCCUUUUUUCUUUCUUCUUGGAAAAGGCUUGCCAUAACAUGAAAAAAGAAAAAAACAGUACUGUUUGUAGUGGGGCCAUUGAUAAUUGAAAUCCUCAAAUGUGGUUUAUGACAUGUAGAAUAUUAGGCGUGAUUUGGGUAUUAAUGCCAUUAAGCUUAUGAGUUGGGUUUCAAUAAUUUUAUGGGUUGCAAUGAAGACUUUGGGCAAUGGAAGAGGUGAUAGUGAGAGUGAGAGGGAGGGCACAUGGGUAAUGCGGGGGGUUUUAAUUAGAACUUGUCCUUGUCUGUGUCUUGCAGAGGAAUCUAAACAUGGGAAUUGGCAUCAAUGCCUUUGUCUAGAAGCGUGCUUCUCUUCUUAAUUCCCUCUAAAUUUCAUCCCAUUUACGCUUACAAGCAAUGAUUUUGUUGCUUUAAAACAUGGGGUCACUUAAUUUUUUUCAAAAUGGCCAAUGCAUUGAGAUUUUGGGUAAGCUGGUCCAAGUGCAUUUGCAAGGUGGUAAAUGGACCUAAAAUUGGUUAAAUCCUUGGCCACCAUCUCUUCCUGUUGGCAUAUCUAAGAGUGGGAAAGCAUUGGAGAUUUUUGUCCCCAAUUUGUGAUGCCUGCGUGCUUUUGCGACUAGAAGAUUGUAGAUCUGGUGGCCACCUAGCCAUCCACUUUGAAAAAAAACAAGCAAACAAACCCACCCCCCCAAGUGCCUCUGGAGAAAGGCUUGAUUCUUGCUCUGACUGGUUCAGAAAUGAUGGGCUGCUCCUGCAGGAAAACUUGGGUCAAAUAGUACUGGUUGCAUGCUUACAGAGAAAAGUACCGAGCACAAUUUGGUCAUCUUCUGUUCAUUGCAAGUUUUCCGGUCAUCUUUGGAGCAUGGCUACAGAAUUUUAUUUCUUUCGUAUAGAAAAGCUAGGCCCUCAUUAAACGACAUGUUUGACAAUUUUAUUUUCUAGUAAAUUUAAAAAAGUUAAAAAUUUGAAAAUGCAUUUUGAAAAUUAGAAAAUAUUUUCUAAAAAUUUAAAUACAUGAAAGUGAAAUGAAUCACCUUAAAUACUUUGUGAAACUUACAAAUUAAAAGGAACAUAAAUAUUUUAAAUAAAAAAUGAAUAUGAGCGUAACUACGAACAAUGGAUAGAUGACCUAUAUAAGUAUUUUAUUUUGUUUUUUAAGACUAUGUAAUAAGUAAAUAUAUUUUUAUAUUAGAUAUUCACUUAUUUUAGUGGAUUAAUUUAUAUGUAUCAAAAUAUUUUAUUGUAUUGUUUUAAAUAAAACUUUCCAAAUAAAAUGAAUAAAUGUUACAUAAUAAUAUCAUAUGAGUAUACAAAAUAGUAUAUCUCAUAACAUAUGGCAUAUAGAAGUCCAAAAGAUCUCCAAUUCUUUUUGCUAGUUAGGGCAUUUAUCGGUUCUAAUAAAUGUCUCAGAAAGACUUGACCUAGAAGUUUAUCAUUUACUGGAUAGAUAGAUAUUGAAUAAAGCCUUUUGUGAUCUUCCUCUAGCCAAAAUUGUGUCCCUUGUGGUUCAGUAGCUUCCACACCAUAGGAAACAACUACUCCCUAAGUUUAAGUAUCUUGAGUCCCUUUACUAUUUUGAGGUCCUUAUUGAUCUUGAUCUUAUAGAAAUUGAGGGGGUUUUGUUGCCAUGCAAAAAUAGUGGAAUAGGACUAAAAGGUACAUCUCCACUACAUGUUUUGUUUAAUUCUUCUUGUAAUUUUAAAGAGGUUUUUAUCUUUUCUUUGCCUUUUGGAAAUAAUUGAUGCAACACUCUCCUUGCUUAAGAUAUAUCUCCACAAUAUGUUUUGAGACUCCUAAAUUCUUGUAAAAUGCGAUUGUGAGCUCGAUAGUAAGCACGGUAUCUACAUUGGUCUUUCUUUGAUGUAUCAUCAAUUUAUUAUGGUGGCUAACAAAAAAUCAAACAAUUCAUAUAAUUCUUGAAAAAAUAAUGAGUUGAGGUCAUUUAGCUUGGUGAACACAACUUCAAAAAUAUCUCCCUUACAAUCUAGCUUUUUGUUUUGUGCUUCCCUUUUAUCUCGCAAAUCACUUGUUUGGCUAUGACACAUCCUCAUUUCCUAGGUGUUUUUUGCUCUCAUAGCAUAUCAUAAUGAGAACUUGGGUGCUACAACAUCUUCUUUGAGACUAGCAUAUUUGUAUGCUCUAGUGAAGAUUGCUUCCAUGCUACUUAUUUUAUUAUAUGUAUAUUGUGAAAAAAGUCUAAUUUGUCUAAAGAAAACACCCAAGAGAGGGAGGAGGAAGGGAGCAUAUUGGGUUUUUCAAAACUUUUUCGAAAAUAAUUCUUAAUAAAAAAUAAUAGAAGAAAGAAAAUAAAGAUAUAAGAGUAAAGAGAAAGUAAACACAAAUUUUAUAAUAGUUCAGUCAAUUUCGUCCACGUCCACUCUCCUCAAACUCCUUCCAAGUGAGAGUUCCACUAGUUUGAAACUUCAACCAAACUUUCAAAUGCUUACAAUUGAAUUUUUGACUCUAAUGGAUACUACAACUUCUCUUUAAGGAUAUCCUUAACUUGAAGCACUACCACUCAAUUUCUUACUUUAAUAAAAAUGUGAAUGAAAACCAUACAUAUAAAUACAAGAAAGGUAGAAUGAACAACAAAGGUAUACUAGGAUGAUAUGCAAAUAGGAGUUUAAUGCAUCAAAAGAUAAAUGAAAACUUUAAAUGUGAGAAACAAGUUGGUAAAGUGUUCAAUAAGUAUUCUUUUAUCUCAUAAAUAAAAAUUUUGACCUGUGGUUUCAUGGCUCAUUGUCAUCUUUGGAGUGAGCAAAAAUGUAGUCCGAAGUCAUUUGAAUUAUUAAAUAAGUUACGAAAGGAUAUUCUACUACAUGAUACGUUUGUAUUAUAUAAAAUUUAGUUAUGUUUAUUUUUAAUGAUAUCCGAUGAACAAAAACUCAAUAUCAAACAAGAUUUUAUUAAUUUUAUUUUUUAAAAGAUUGUAUUAAUUAAAUGCAUUCUCAAAGAAAAAGAAAUGAAAUAAACACUAAUGUUAGAACAUGAAAAUAAAAAAUAAAAUAUAAAUAACCUUUUUCGAAUUCAAUGCAAUUUUACGAUACGAUUAAUUUAAUUUGUCAUUAAUAUAAUAAGUUUAGUUUGUCGGUAGUUUAAUUAUGAAGUGAAUAUCUUUAUACACAGGAUGGAUCAUUUACCGAUAUCCUUAAGUUUGCAGACAUGGGGAACGGGUACAUUGGAAAGGUAUUUUCACAUCAUCCUAUUAUCCUAAAUUCCUAACAGCAGCAAUAUUCUAGGCAUCACCCUUGUGCGAUGAAAGGAGACUCGACCAGUCGCACCCCUUUCUUCAAGCAAUUCCCAGACUUUUCUCGUCCAUUUCUUUCCAUUAGAAGUACAUUAAUAAUAAGAUGGUGGUAAUCACACACACUCACUAUCUCACAGGAGAAAUGGAUUUUGGUCCACACUCCACAGAAGGGGAUGGUCUAUAGGCCCCUCUAUCAUCAUACCAAAGGCAUUGCGUGCUUGGGAGGGGAGACCAAAUGUCUCCCCAGAUCUUUCUUUUCAAGACCCUCCUAUUGGAGAAGUGCCACUUCACCUUCUCCACCUCAAUCAUGGCCUGGGUGUUUGUUGGCCUUUGAGAGGAUAGCAUUAUGAGGACUUUCUUCUUCCUGUUGGUUUCACCACUACUCUUUUCCACUGUAUUUUCUGUCCACAUCUUCUCCUCCUUUUUCUAAAGAAUUGAGAGUGUUGGUCAGCCACCCACACCGUCCCAGUCAAGGGGUUGAUUGUUGGGACCACCACUCUUUCUUCGCAAUGUGGAAGAUCUCAUCAUUUCAAUCAUCCGCUAAUCAGGGAUAUUUCUAAAUUCCAAUUUUUUAUCUUGCAUUCUUGGUUUCAGUCUCUUUACUCUUUUAGCCUUUUGUUUUUACACGCGGUAUUCAGAACCAGCUAAUUUGGAAAUCAUCAAACACUCCAAAUGACAGAAUAGAGAGUAAAAUUCUAGUAGUUUGAAUGUGCAAGCUUAAACCUUUUCUUAGAGUUGACUAGGGCUUGUUAGUAUGAAAAACUACUUGAUGGGCAUGCAUCCAGAACUAGGUCUCAUCAGCAGUUCAACCAGCAACCGAUUCAGAGGAUUGGAAUAUCUUGACCAUUCUACUAGCAAACUCCAAACACAACUAUGCAUAUCCAUAAUCAAUCAUGUACAUGAAUCAAUGAUAAUUGAACAUAUGGAUGGUGUGCAUGUGAAUAAAUUUAACAAAGGCACAAGCAAACUUCUGUCAAGGACAAUGUAUGAACAUCUUCAUCAAAGACGUAACUCAUUUCCUAACUUGGAUCCAUCCCCACCACGAGUUUCCCAAAGUUAUUUGGUUCUCCCAGAAAAUAUUACUUUCCUUCUUUCCACAAUAUUCAUUCAGAAAGCAACAAAUAGUCAAAUACAACUUGACAAUAAAGAUAUCUUAUUACUAAUAUUAUAUAAGGAGAAUCCAUCAAACCUAGUUUUAAUAUCGAUAACAUCAAUGUUAUAGGAAAGUAGCCAGCAGCCUUCCAUAUAUUCUUUUUUUUUUUUUGGCCAAGUCAAAUGUUGUUUGGUACUAGCCAGUCUACCUACACCAGCACCCUUUUUUUUGGUCAAAAUAUUUCAAGUGUUCACUUCUUCCAGUGGCAGAGAAUCAAAAUAUAAAGAACCAUUCUCCAAAGAAGGCCAGAGGGACAGACCCUAGAUUUCCAAGUUAGACAAACCUAACAUUUCCACCAGUGUAUCCACCUCAGCAACUAUGCCUCCUUAAUGAUAGAUUAAGGCAUACACAUUCAGGAACCAACAAGGAAGAAAACACCAAUGGAUUAUGGAUUAUGACAUGUAUCUCCAAUACAAUGCAUAGCAAAACAUCAAAAGAGUUUCAUCUCAGGUACAUGCUCUGUGCAGGAUAUCUUCUAACAUGCUGAAUUCCAGAAAUUGACAAAUGAAUGAAACUGACAUUUCAAGACCCUGGACGUUUUAUACCCUCAUGUUGGGGAAAGGACUGUAGCUACUUCAGCAGUAAUUCAACAGUAGGCAUUCUUACAAGGCAAAGGAUGUAAUUAGAUGAACAUUUUAAAUCCAACUUUCUAUCUUGAUUGUGAUACAAAUUCACACACAAAAAGUCACUGGACUUGGGCACACUCACUACUAAAUAAACAUUUAGGAAACGGAAUCCAAAAUCUUCCAUCUGCUAAAUAUGGGGGAAUCCUACAGUGACUAGAAAAUGAGUUAGUUUUUAAUGACAAGCAAGUGGACAGAGAAUCAAUCAGAUAAGCAACGGUUUCCCCCAUACAAGUGAAAAGCAACAAUCAGCAAGGAAUCUAGGCAUCAUAGUAAAAAGUUCUUGUAAUCCAAUCACAUCAUUAACUUGUUCAAGUAUUGUAUAUGAGAAGGUAAGCACUAGGAAAAUGUUGGAAACAAGAACAAGUAAUAAACCAUGAAGCAACCAGGGAUAUAUGCAAAAAGAAAGUGCAAAAUCAAAAUCUUCUGUGCCUAUCAACAAAAAAAGAAAAGAAAAAAGUUUUGUGCACAAUAGAGAUUUCCACAAAAUUUGGAAAAAAUAAAAAUAAAAGCUAAAAGAGAUGAUUAGGACACUAGAUUAUAAAACCCAAGUACAACAAAGAAACACAUUCUCUCUCUCUCUCUCUCUCUCUCACACACACACACACACACACACACAAGGCAAAUAAUAAAAAAGGAGCAAAAAGAGGCACCGUAAGAUGAGCUUGCAACACAGGAAUGAGAAUUUUUUUAGCAGGCUUGCAACCUAGGAAUGAGAAUGGAUGCUGCCAUUUAUUAUUCUUGUAUUUAGAUGCAUCAGAAAUCAGAGAGUCACAUUAACUUCCCACUCCCAAGUUUGGAAAUGAAGGAAUGGAACAAAAGAUCAAGUUUCUCCAGCUUCUCUGGGUUUAACAAAAAAUUUAACCCAAAUUCCAAAAUUGGUCCAACUUCCAUUUCCAUGGUGGGCAGUAGCAGGAUGGAAUAAAAGAUUUAAGUUGUUCCCUCUUUCUUUAGGUUUGACAAAAACCUAAUGCAAACCCCAAAAUCUUUCCAACCACAACUGGCAACUGAGUUGGAAACCCCAACCAAAAUAUAAACCAAGCAACACCAACUCUCAGUAUCCAAGAGAUGUACAAGAACCCUAUUUGAAAUACCCAAAUCUGUUCAAAUGUGUGUAACUAAAUCAGAAAUUCCAACAAAAAUUAACUUAGGCACAAAGAACACACUUACCCUAAGACCAUACUCAACAAGGGAGUGAUGCAAAGAGAGAGAGAGGGUGAGUGAAACUGAACUAAUGAGAUAGAGGGAAGUGACGAGAGAUGCCCUCAUUUUUGUUUGCAAGAGGAACUUGAAUGCAGUUUCAACUUAUACAGGGAAUUUGACAUUUUUUUUUUCAAUUACCAACCCAAAUGAGAAUGAGAUGCUCACUUUUCAAUGCUACAAGGGGAUGAAUUCUCAUAAUCAUUCUGGAUCAUGUUACCUAUGUGAACCUUAUAAUGGGAUAGCAAGGGACAGGAACUGCAUUCCACAUUCCACUGCCACCAAACAAACAAGAAUCUCUGAACUGCAAUUUAAGUAACGAUGAUUGUUGCACUACACUAGAGAAAAAAAUGGGGGCAAGGUUUCUUAACAGUCCAUGACCUUGAAGUGGGUUGAUAGAAGGAAUGAUGGAAUGAAAGUUCCAAAUUUGGGACAAAACCAUUAUCUCUGCCUCUAGAUUAAAUUCCAUUAUCCACUAAAAGAAUACUCUUUCUCCUAGCCUAGCCAGCAUUUUAACGAAGUUCAAGAAAAUUACUAAAUCUCUAAAAAAGAGGCUUCUAUCUCUAACAUCUCAUAAAUAAAUUACAAAAUAACAAAAAAAAACCUUCUCAUCAAAUUUUUUUUUCUAAACCUUCUUAUUUACCUAUCAAAAAAAGAAAAAAAAGAAAGAAAAAAAAAUUACAAAAUAACAAAGACUUCCAAUAACCUCAAUUCAUCCUUCUCAUCAAAUUCCUCUGACAUAAACCUUGUGUAGCAAACUACCGCAGUCUUCAUAAAAGCCUAACAUUCCAUAUGAUAUUCAGAUAUUAUUCCCAGAUCAUGCAUGAUGCUAAAAUAUCAAUAAAGUUACAUAAAAGUAUGAUAUUGACUACUAAGAUCAAAGCAUUGUGUGUCCAAGUUAAUAUACAUUUAAGCAGCUUUUGAAGAAAGGAAACAAUUUACUUGGUUAAUAAUGGGUGCAAAUAUUACACAACAAAGUUAUCACUUAGAUGUAUCUAUACUGGUAUAAAUUCAAUAACCUCAGACAAAAUCCAAGUAGCAAUAUUCAACCACCUAGGAGAGCUUCAGGUCCGGCUCAAAUGUCAAUGGGUUGAGACGGGGAUGAGGUAGGCCCUAGUUUGAUUCCAUAUACCAAAUAGGGGAAAAAACAUUAGCUAUAAAAAAGAUAGACAUUGAAUCACCCAAGAAAAGAAAAGAAGCUGAUUUGUAGCAGCGCUUAACUUAGGAACACAGAGAGAACUAUGAGAGGCAAGUUUUAUCCCAUGCUGGAACUCAGCAGGAAGGUGUGGCACCAAUUACAGGGCCCAAUAAAAAAUAGGAACGAAGACAGGUCAACUUGUACUAUCCCAGAUGAUUUUUUUUUUUUUUUUUUUGAUAAGUAAGCACAAAUUGUAUUGUACUAUCCCAGAUGAUAGCCAUUAUAAAACACUAAACCAUACAUAGAAGGCUUGGAAAUGAACAAACUUCGACAGUGUUGCUUGUACUUUCCUAAUUCUAACUUCUUAGAUAAAAUGUUUGUGAAGGAAAAGAAGCAACCAGCUUCAUUAAAAAUUUUAAUUUAGUUUCUUCAUUCCUCCUGAUAGCAUAAUCUAUCACAACUGCAUUGAAGCUUAUUUAUAAGUGAAUCAUUCAAAUGGAAAACUACUAGGCAAUGCUGUGAAGAUAAGAUAUGCUUGAAAACAGGGAAAAUUUGUGAAUCGAGAAGAAUUAUCAUUUACAAAGCAAAAUUGAAACUUUCCAAAAAGAAGAGAGCUCAUAUAUGUCAUUUUUAUUUGAAAUGUACAAUACAAAAAAGCCACAUGCCCACCAAAAUCUAACCUUUUUUUUUUUCUUUUGUACAUGAAUUAUCCAAAAUAGGAGAACCAAUCAACAACACCCAACUCACCUCCACAAAGGACCAAGUGGCGUCACAGAAAAACAUAUCUCUUGCACACUUCAUCUCCCUCAAACUCUUCCACAGUUAAUGUUUUCCCUGCAGAGUCUGAACCAAACUUGAAGCAUUUCUCCUAACCUUCUCAUUAUCAUCCUCUACCAAGCCCAUACAAAUCUCUAAGACCCCUUCUUUCAUCGUCUCCAAACACAUCCCAUCCCCAUUGCUACACAGCGAAUUCAGAGUCAUCAGUGCAUACUGUACACCCCGCGAGCUUCCAUUUCUCAAAACACGCACCAAAAUCNNNN